rnacentral:rRNA from 1 species
UACGGAGGGUGCAAGCGUUAUCCGGAUUCACUGGGUUUAAAGGGUGCGUAGGCGGGUUGGUAAGUCCGUGGUGAAAUCCCCAAGCUUAACUUGGGAACUGCCGUGGAUACUAUCAAUCUUGAAUACCGUGGAGGUGAGCGGAAUAUGUCAUGUAGCGGUGAAAUGCUUAGAUAUGACAUAGAACACCAAUUGCGAAGGCAGCUCGCUACACGAAUAUUGACUCUGAGGCACGAAAGCGUGGGGGAUCAAACAGG